rnacentral:rRNA from 1 species
CGCGCAGGCGGGUAUGUAAGUCAGAUGUGAAAUCCCACGGCUUAACCGUGGACGUGCAUUUGAAACUGUAUACCUUGAGUAUGGUAGAGGAAAGUGGAAUUCCUGGUGUAGCGGUGAAAUGCGUAGAUAUCAGGAGGAAUAUCGGUGGCGAAGGCGACUUUCUGGGCCAAUACUGACGCUGAGGCGCGAAGGUGUGGGUAGCGAACAGGAUUAGAUACCCUGGUAGUCC